CUCUCUACUCUUCUCUCUAUUGCUCUUGUUCUUGAAUUAUUGUUCUUGUCUUUUAUAUUAUUGUUAGAAAUUAACUAGUGCUUAGUUUAAAUGAUUUCGUGUUUAGCAAUAAAUCUUUUUAAAGUGGAUUACUUCAUAUAGUUCUUGUCCAAAAAUGAUAAGAUUUAAGACCUUUUAUAUAGAUAUUACAUGUAUAGAAGCCACUGCCUUAAGUCGAACAUUUGAAGAAUACUCCAUGUUUGAAAUAUUUCUUCUUUUGUGGGUUAAGAACUAUAUUUAUAGUAAUACAUUUACACUAUGUUUAUGAAAAGAACUUAAUAAACUAUCGUGACCAUUUUAAACUAGUGAAUAUCUAAAGUUAUUUUGCUAGAUAGCUCUAUACUUACAUUUGCUUAAGUAGUUAAGUUUUUUUUCCUAGCUGAAAAUAACAUAAAUUUAUUAUAAAGUUGGGACUAGUUAAUUCUUAAACAGUGUAUUGUAGACUGAAAUUGUAGUAUCAAAUGGUAGAAAAGAUAAUAUUCAGGAGGGCUAAAAUAUCAUGUGCAAGGGACUUAAAGUUUAUUGAAACCACUUAAGAGAAGUCUACUCUUAACCAAGUGCAGAAUUUUGACAUUUAUGAACUUUUCAAAUGAUUUUCCUUUUCUUUACUGUUACUAUCGAGUGUGCCAUUAGAAUACUUUAGUGUAUGGUCCUAAUACUUAAAAUAAAGUAAGAAAACAUGUAUUUUUGUGCGUUAAAUGACGCCAUGCAUAUUAUUUGUCUUGAAAAAGUCUACUGCUACUUCGUCAUUCUUUUUUUUUUUUUUUUUUUUUUNNNNNNNNNNNNNNNNNNNNNNNNNNNNNNNNNNNNNNNNNNNNNNNNNNNNNNNNNNNNNNNNNUUUUUUUUUUUUUUUUUUUUUUUGUGAAGGGAAUGCUACAAGGACUUUAAUCUAAUUUUAUGACUUAAGAUGGAAGUAUUUUUUCCAACUUUUAAUAAUUAUGUUGGCUAGAUUAGUCAGUUUCAUCUUUAGAUUUCAAACGAACAAGAAAUUUUUUUGUUAACUCAAUAUUUAGAUUAAGGAGAUAUGCCUAAACUUAGAGAUUAAUGAAUUUGCUAGUCUCAAUUUUUUUUUUUAAAAAAGAAAUACUCAUUUUAUGUGAGUUAAUAAUCCUGCUGUAUGUUUAGAAUUCAAUUCAAAGUAUAUCUCAAUUUAUUGUCAAUAUCUCUAUUUCUAAUUUUCGUCUUUUCUUUUUCUUUGUUUGACAUAUGCACUUGGAGCAAUAUGAAUUGUAAUGCAAGACUUAACGCAUAUCAGCAUGGAGCCAUUAUUAUUGAACCUACACUAUGAAGGACAUUUAGAAGAACAACAAGCGAAAAGCUUGGGGUCGCCUAUGGCGGCCUUUGUUAUUUACAUUUACUCUGUUUUGAAUUUUUAAUCAAUUUGAUUAUAUAUUUUUUGAUAGUUUAGUUCUAUUUUUAACUUGGGAUUAUUGAUUUAAUUCCGACUUCUUCACUUAGUA
rnacentral:lncRNA from 1 species